rnacentral:lncRNA from 1 species
GAGAGGAUUUUGGUUGAGAGAGAAUUUUCGGGGAGAAAUAGAAAGCAGAAAUUUAGGUUUCGACAUAUUCUUCUACCUUUCUUUUUUUUUAUUUUAUUUCUGGUCCUAGAACAAAAAAUACUAAAAAUAUUGUCGAGUGUUCUAUCAUUUCAUUUUGAUAUCUAAAAGUCUAUCUUUCCAUUUUGAUUUCGGAUUUCGGUUAAAAAUGGAAUUUGUCCGAGAGGCUGGAAUUUGUUGCUGCUCGAGGUGUUAAUUGUCAGCCGCUAUUUGUUUUGUUAUUUAUAUUCAGAAAAUCAAACAAAAACAGAGGUUCAUAUUCAUUUCCUUUUUAUUUAAGAAUUUUGUUUGUAUGUUGAAUGAUCCGAAAAAAUGAUAUAAAAUGCC